rnacentral:rRNA from 1 species
UACGUAGGGGGCAAGCGUUGUCCGGAUUUAUUGGGCGUAAAGGGCUCGUAGGCGGUUUGUCACGUCUGCUGUGAAAUCCCGAGGCUCAACCUCGGGCCUGCAGUGGGUACGGGCAGACUGGAGUGCGGUAGGGGAGAAUGGAAUUCCUGGUGUAGCGGUGGAAUGCGCAGAUAUCAGGAGGAACACCGAUGGCGAAGGCAGUUCUCUGGGCCGUAACUGACGCUGAGGAGCGAAAGCGUGGGGAGCGAACAGG